UGUCUUCAGGGCAAGGUGAAAUUCCUUUCCGGCGGUGAUAGUCCGCGACUUCCUUAUGGAACUGAUUCGGUGAAAUUCCGAAACCGACGGUGAUAGUCCGGAUGAGAGAAGAC
rnacentral:ncRNA from 1 species